CCCUUAGAUGUUCUGGGCCGCACGCGCGCUACACUGAUGCAUUCAACGAGCCUAUCCUUGACCGACAGGUCCGGGUAAUCUUUGAAUCUGCAUCGUGACGGGGAUAGAUUAUUGCAAUUAUUAAUCUUCAACGAGGAAUGCCUAGUAGGCGCAAGUCAUCAGCUUGCGUCGAUUACGUCCCUGCCCUUUGUACACACCGCCCGUCGCUCCUACCGAUUGGGUGUGCCGAUGAAACUCUCGGAUGUAGGCUAUUCAUAGCCCGCAGAAGAGAUUUGAAUCGUAGCGCUUAGAGGAAGGAGAAGUCGUAACA
rnacentral:rRNA from 1 species